rnacentral:lncRNA from 12 species
UUGUGCUGUAACAGUUAAAUUAUAUUAUUCCAUUAUACUUAUAUUAAUGUUUAAUUAAUUGUAUUUUGCCCAGGUGAUACUAUUCAAAGUUUUCGAAGGCUUUGACAUAAUCCUCCAAACUGAGGGGAGAAUGUCACGAGAGCAACAUUUCUGUGAUGCAGAAUAAAAGACGCUAUGCUGAUGUUUCCCUUUUGAGACUUCCCUGUCGUUUAAAGCCCUUGAACUAAACCAGCGGUAUUUCCUCUGAUGAGGAGCAGUGGGGACAGGUGGCUAUUUAUAGUCCAGCAGGAGAAGAGCGCUGAGAUGACUCAAAAUUAGGGAAGCGGCCAACAUUCUGAUCAAACCAGAGGAAAUCCAAAACCAUCUCGAGCAUGUCCAUAACUGGAGCGACCAUUCGCCUGGGGAACGGCCUUUUAAAAUUACAAAGCACAGAAUAAGAAACAGGCAACACAGAUGCCAGGUCUUCAGCCGGCAGCCGUACUGCUAGUAGCCAACGGGGCUUCUCUGUUUGUGUAUUUCUUGAAGGGCAAUUAUCACUAAGCAGUGCUGAUUACAGAGAAGCCUUUAUUCCUUUCUGGAAGAGACAGCAUCAAUAUUUUCCUGCACCUACUCCAGAAAUUGUAGGAGAAGCAUCUGAGACAACUCUGAAAGAGCACAUUUUUCUUGGGCCUUCCAUUAUCUUUAUGAAGUUUGGAUGAGCUUUAAGUCAAAACUUUUAUCUCAUGCAGUCUGUUUCCCAAAGCAUGUUGACUCCACAGGUCCCUAUUUACUUUAUUGAGGGGUGAAGAUGACCCCAGGUCAAACCCACCCAAACAUCUGAACUUAGAUUAGAACGACUGAUACAGCCGCACUUUAUGGGACGUCCUGAGAACACUUUCCCAACUCUGCCCCCACCUUACAAAUCACUGUCUCCACUCAAGCAGCAGAAAUAAGGCUCGGCUUCCUGUGCUGCCGUCCCAGAGGCCUUUCUCCUGAAACAAAUGUUUCCCCCUUAAAAUAGCAUUUGUUUGUAUCGGGUGUCUGAUGGAAGAAGAUGUUCAUACGGUCUCUUCUCAGAACUCAUUACUGUGAACAACAUCACCUGCACCACAAGAAGAGGUAAAUCAAAAAAUCAAAAAGAAGCCAAAGAAAUCUGAAGCCAAAUCUUCAUUAGUAAUUUUUUUAGCAAAGCUGAUUUGUUAACAACAGAAAGCUGGUUUUCAUAUACAGCAAGAGCAGCAGUGACUGUUCAUUAAAACCUGUCAGCAAUUCAAGUAUA